rnacentral:rRNA from 1 species
GACGAACGCUGGCGGCGUGCUUAACACAUGCAAGUCGAACGGAAAGGCCCCUUUGGGGGUACUCGAGUGGCGAACGGGUGAGUAACACGUGAGUAACCUGCCCUUGACUUCGGGAUAACUUCAGGAAACUGGGGCUAAUACCGGAUAGGAAUCCUUGCUGCAUGGUGGGGGUUGGAAAGCUUCGGCGGUUUUGGAUGGACUCGCGGCUUAUCAGCUUGUUGGUGGGGUAGUGGCUUACCAAGGCUUUGACGGGUAGCCGGCCUGAGAGGGCGACCGGCCACAUUGGGACUGAGUGACGGCCCAGACUCCUACGGGAGGCAGCAGUGGGGAAUAUUGCACAAUGGGCGGAGGCCGGAUGCAGCAGCGCCGCGUGCGGGAUGACGGCCUUCGGGUUGUAAACCGCUUUCAGCAGGGGCGAAGCUUGUGGUGACGGUACCUGCAGAAGAAGCACCGGCUAACUACGUG